CGAAUCUUCCGCAAUGCGCGAAAGCGUGACGGAGCAAUGCCGCGUGCAGGAUGAAGGCCUUCGGGUUGUAAACUGCUGUCAGAGUUUAGUAAGAAAGUGAACAGACUCAAAGGAAGGGCCGGCUAACUUCGUGCCCGCAGCCGCGGUAAUACGAAGGGCCCGAGCGUUAAGCGGAUUCAUUGGGCUUAAAGCGUACGUAGGCGGAUCAGUCAGCGCUUUGUGAAAUCCCCCGGCUCAACCGGGGAACUGCAGGGCGAACUGCUGAUCUUGAGUCAGGUAGGGGCCGUCGGAACGCACGGUGGAGCGGUGAAAUGCGUAGAUAUCGUGCGGAACGCCAAAGGAGAAGUCAGGCGGCUGGGCCUGUUCUGACGCUGAGGUACGAAAGCGUGGGGAGCGAA
rnacentral:rRNA from 1 species